GCUGCUGUAGCUCAGUGGUAGAGCGUGGGAUUGCAGUUUCUGCAAUUAUCCUAAGGUCCGUUGUUCGACCCAGCGUAGCAGCU
rfam:Aureobasidium pullulans var. pullulans EXF-150 unplaced genomic scaffold scaffold_10, whole genome shotgun sequence.